rnacentral:lncRNA from 1 species
UAAUUAAAAAUAACAAAUAAAAAUAACUAGUAAUUAUAUAAUUAAGGGUAAAAUAUGUAUAUAAAUUAUGCUCAUCAAAUACCCCCAAACUUAGAUUUUGCUAGUCCUCGAGCAAAACUAAAAUUUAAAACAAAAAUAAAAAUAACAACACAAAAAGUAAAUCCUAACUAAACCACUUUCGCAGGUAAUCGCGAUUGCAUUUAGCACAUGCAACAAGCCUUUAAACCCCUAGGCGGCCCUAGUGGACGAGUUAUAGUCUCGUGAGGGCUUCAGUGAUGAUACCCACAAACAUCAUUUAAAAAAAAAUAAAUUAAAUUAAAUCAAAAGAACGAAAAACUUUAAAUAAACCAUGAAAAAUAGCCUCAAAGAUUGCAAAAAUUAUAUAGCUCAAAGAAAAUUUCAAAUAUUAGCAAAGUUCUAACUUUAAUUCAAUAGUCAAUCCCACCUCUCUUUCAAUUCUUGUAGUGUGUGUGUGAAAUCAAUUCAAUCAAAUCCAUUCCCAAAAUCCUCAACAUCAACAGCCUUCGCCUCAAACAAAGAACAGAGUAGGUCAAACUAAUCUUAUCAUCUUGAUCUCCAAUUUUUUUCUCUCACAGGCUUUUAUGUGCAUUUUCUUUUGAUUUUUUUUUCAGCACAUGCACUUGAUUUUUUUUUUUCUUCUCUUUUUUUUUUCAACCAUAGUCAGGAGCUUUCACUCUACCCCUUAAGGUAGCCUUCUUCUCAUGGUAGAUUAUCCUCUACAUACUUGUGGUACAUAGGCCCAAAUUACUCAAGGAUAGCUUCACUCUUAAGGGUUAUAGGUAGCUAUUUCUGACUUUGGUGCCCGUGUAUACUAUUUUGUAUUGUGGAGAUAAGAAUCAAGACAAACAGUCAUUUACUCUAUCUAAAAUUCUCAACUCAGGCUGCGUCAAUAUCAAAUUUCAAGUCAAAAUUACGAAAGAAUUGAUAUUAGUGCUCAUGGUUUAAAGAAUCUCAAUCAAGAGGAACUAACACAAGAAUCAAGUAUAAACUAAGACAAUAUUCAACCCUUUCUAAAAACCAUAUUCAUUGUCAAUCAAAUUUUUAUCAUUGGCUUUUCACAUAAAAACAAAAAACAACAAAAUUUUUUUUAAUUUUUAUUUAAAUUUUUCAAUUUUUUUUUUGUUUUUUUUUUAACAAACAAAACACACACUAUUCCCACCCCCAAACUUAUUUGGAACAUUGUCCUCAAUGUUGCACAAACAAAAGAUAUGCAUGCAAACAAAUGAAAGAAAUAAUAA